rnacentral:rRNA from 1 species
GCUCAACCUGGGAACUGCAUUCGAAACUGGCAGGCUAGAGUCUUGUAGAGGGGGGUAGAAUUCCAGGUGUAGCGGUGAAAUGCGUAGAGAUCUGGAGGAAUACCGGUGGCGAAGGCGGCCCCCUGGACAAAGACUGACGCUCAGGUGCGAAAGCGUGGGGAGCAAACAGGAUUAGAUACCCUGGUAGUCCACGCCGUAAACGAUGUCGAUUUGGAGGUUGUGCCCUUGAGGCGUGGCUUCCGGAGCUAACGCGUUAAAUCGACCGCCUGGGGAGUACGGCCGCAAGGUUAAAACUCAAAUGAAUUGACGGGGGCCCGCACAAGCGGUGGAGCAUGUGGUUUAAUUCGAUGCAACGCGAAGAACCUUACCUGGUCUUGACAUCCACAGAACUUUCCAGAGAUGGAUUGGUGCCUUCGGGAACUGUGAGACAGGUGCUGCAUGGCUGUCGUCAGCUCGUGUUGUGAAAUGUUGGGUUAAGUCCCGCAACGAGCGCAACCC